rnacentral:rRNA from 1 species
GAUGAACGCUGGCGGCGUGCUUAACACAUGCAAGUCGAACGGAAAGGCCCAAGCUUGCUUGGGUACUCGAGUGGCGAACGGGUGAGUAACACGUGGGUGAUCUGCCCUGCACUUCGGGAUAAGCCUGGGAAACUGGGUCUAAUACCGGAUAGGACGAUGGUUUGGAUGCCAUUGUGGAAAGUUUUUUCGGUGUGGGAUGAGCUCGCGGCCUAUCAGCUUGUUGGUGGGGUAAUGGCCUACCAAGGCGUCGACGGGUAGCCGGCCUGAGAGGGUGUACGGCCACAUUGGGACUGAGAUACGGCCCUGACUCCUACGGGAGGCAGCAGUGGGGAAUAUUGCACAAUGGGCGCAAGCCUGAUGCAGCGACGCCGCGUGGGGGAUGACGGCCUUCGGGUUGUAAACUCCUUUCGCUAGGGACGAAGCGUUUUUGUGACGGUACCUGGAGAAGAAGCACCGGCUAACUACGUG